CUGAGUGUAAAAACUCCCAAACCCAUGUGAACAUUACCUCUGUUGCUUCGGCGGGCACCUCGCUGCCCGCCAGAGGAACCAAACUCUGGUUUAUAUCUUGGCAUUGUCUGAGUGGCGCAAGCAAAUAAAUCA
rnacentral:misc_RNA from 1 species